UCUCGCCUGCACAUAUUCUCUCUACACUCUGUCUACCGCUUCUGGAAAGUUCACAACACACAUUGCCAGUGUUGUAUAACCCUUCUCCUUCAAGCUCGAUCACAUUUUCUCGCCAUUUCCAUGUGUAAAACAUUAUCUCUACCCUACUAUGUACUCGCGAUCACAACUCCUGACUGAUUAGACCGAACAAAACCCUGACGCUACCUAUUUCUUCUCUCAAACAAUUCUGGAAAGUUGACCACAUAUAAGGUAGUGACACCACUCAAGAAAUGGUUUGAGGCAAAAUUUGAGAUGACAGAUCUGAAAGAAAUCAACCAACAGGAACUACAACAUCUAUAAGAUGACCCAUAAAAAAUAUGGAAUUACACAGAGUGGUGGAAUUACACUGUCCGGAUAGACCCACAAAAAAGAAGAUACAUACAGUGAACAGGAAAUUUCAAUGAAUUGAUGCAGAUCGAUAUGGCACAGAAAUGUAAAGCAGAAUUGCUGGGACUCCAACUAACUCAAAAACCUCCCUAUCCCAUAAUAAAAUUUAGAUAAAAAGAUGUACAGUAAAAAAUAUGGCAAUAUAGGAGAGUGGUGGUAUUACACUGUCUGGAUACACCCACAAAAAAAAAAAAGAAGAUACAUACAGCGAACAUCAAAUUUCAAUGAAUUGAUACAGAUAUGCCACACAAAUGUAAAGCAAACCAGAUGAAUAUUGUAAAUGAAUAAGUCAGUAUUUGUUACAAUUUCAAUCAAGAAAAACAGGUUUUGAUCGUACAAAGGUUAAGAAGAUUCCAAUAAGAGGUGGUUUGCAUUUUUCAAUACAAUAUUACAAUGAAUUAGUAGAAUUAAAGAAAUGAAAUCAGGUAUGCCUGGAACUUUACCUCUAUUUGUAGUUCUGUGUUUCCACUUACAGCCAAAUGAUAAAUGAACCCGUAAGCCAUUACUAUAUGAGAAUAGAUUACUAUUACUAUAUUGUGCUGUUAAAAAAAAAACAUGAGAUUGUUACCUUCGUCCACAAAAAAUUGGAACAGUAAGUCUUUGACUCAUUUGAGAACUUUGCUGAGUGUCAAUGGCAAAGUCUGGGCAGAGAAGAACAAACACGCAGAGGGUUAAUGGCAAAGUGUGGAUUGUUUGUGUAUAGAAGGAUUUAUAGAAGAGGUUUGAAGGUUGUAGAGUUCCAAAAAUAAUCAGCUUCAAAGGAUGUAGAGUUCCAAAUAAUAUGAAAUUCAGAUUUACCUACUGAAAUAAAUUACAAAAUGUUAAGUGUGUAUACCGUACCAUACUUUAGUCUGAAAUCACAUUGAAUAGUGUAGCUAAUAUAUACUGCAGAUAAAAAAGAAAUUCUAUACACUUACUUUGACCUGAAAUCAUCAACUUCCUGAUAAGAGGCAUUCAAAUACAGUUUGGUAUCAUCAUAGCAUCAAAUAUUAGGCUAAGGAAGAUAGUCUGAAAUCACAUUGAAUAGUGUAGCUAAUAUAUACUGCAGAUAAAAAAGAAAUUCUAUACACUUACUUUGACCUGAAAUCAUCAACUUCCUGAUAAGAGGCAUUCAAAUACAGUUUGGUAUCAUCAUAGCAUCAAAUAUUAGGCUAAGGAAGACAGAACAUUAAACAGUGAGCAAAAAUUGUACAAAAUGAGUUUACCUCUUCAUCGCAUACCAAACACAUUCUCUACUCUUGAUAUGUGUAGAGCCUCUACUUUCAGGUAUUUCAUAAACUCUAACACACCUCACUCGUAUUGCUCUUCAAUAUCUAGAGGCUUUAACAAAAAUUUACUGACUUGACAUGGUUAAAUUUGCAGAGAUUUUAGAUCUGGUUUACUAUUAAUCAGGUACUUAGAACGGAAGAGAUGGACAUAUUGGGAGUGGAUAUGUAUAUCAACAUAGGUUUAUAUAGAUUGUAAUAUUAGAUUUCGAAAUUUGAAUAUUAUCUUGGAAGCAUGAAGCUGCUGGAAACCUUUCACUUUCCAAGAGCACAAGCAAUAGUUGAUUAUUUCGAAGCAUUUAAUACUAUAUAUACAGAUAUAUAGAUGUAAAUAUGUAUGUGUCUAUCUGUAUGUCUGUACUCUGUAGGUGUACAUAUGUAAAAUCAAUUUAUAUUUAGGUUUAGGUUA